CAUCUUCCUGCUCCAUGGAGAGAUGACGAAGUUCAUCAUGAAACUGUGUGCGAGGUUCAUGAAGCCGUCAGCACUACAGGGCUGAGAAGUCCAUGACAUCCUCUACAAGGACUCACUAAACCAACUGCCAGGAGAAAAGCUAAAUGUUUGCUUCACCACCAGAGCUACCCUCAACAGGCUCCUUGAGCCUGGAGACAUCACAGCUCAGGAGGUGCAGCUAUUCUAGCAGGCAGCACUGGUGUUUCUGGUCAGGGCUGUGGAGUAUGGACUUUACAGACUCCCCCUGAAGGAGGCCCUUCUGAAGCACGCAAAAUUUGUUGAUGUGCAGCAGAGGGCUGAGUGUGGGGUG